AGACGACAUCGUUCCAUCAGGUGAUCGAUGUCAAAAUAAAAAUAGAUUUAAGGAGUUGGACACGCGUUUCUCCCCAUCCAAAACCUAGGGUAAAGAAUCAAGACUCUCCAGUUCUCUCCGCCGCUCCUUGUUUCGUACCUUCCUCCUUCCUCUCAAAAUUUCUGUCUUCUCCUCCUUUACUUUCUUAUUCUGUGAUUUCAAUCUUUAGCCUUUCUCAGUCUUUUCUCCUCUUUUCUUUCCUUUUUCCCUGUCGAAUCGCCAGAUUACUAUGAGCUAAACUAAUUGAGCUAAACUUUUCUCUUCGGGAUCUCUUCAAGCUUCUAAACAACGUCUAGACGAUUGAAGAUCCACACAAGUGUAGAUUAGUAGAUCAACUUGGAAUCUCAUUACUUGAUUCAAUGCCACCCAUUUCAAUUAUAGGGAUCUAUUGGCUAUAUGCGCCAAGCUCAGGGGUCUAUGUCCAAUUAACCCGUUCAAAUUCUAAUUCAGCUGUCUAUAAGAGCUUCUUUAGCGGCCAGAUUAAGAGCAAAUCGAAGAAAUCAAAUAGUCGGUCAGAGUUCAUUCAGUUUCUUCUCAAUCAAAAUGGCUCGUACGAAGCAAACAGCUGGCAAGUCCACCGGAGGAAAGGCUCCAAGGAAACAGCUUGCCACAAAGUAUAUAUGCUUUCUUCCUCGGAAUGAAUUGUUCUGGUUGAUAUGUUGGAUAUGGAAUGCUUUUCAUACUUGAACCGUGCUCUAGAAAGUUUUCUAUCACCAAUAGUGAUUUUUCCCGCAAAUAGAGGAAUAUGUAAUGUCAGAUAUUAGCAAUUCGUGCAUAGGUGGAGGAACUGGUAAUUGACGAAGAAAGCCUGGCUCUCUCUCAUAUCCCUCCACGCUGCAACUCCAGGCCACUUGUACCCUCUCCUCUAAAAAGAAGUUGUCAAUCCCCUCUCUCUCCUUCUUUGAUCAAUUGCAAAGCUAAAGUUUCCUUGAUUCUUUCUUUGAUAUUUUUUUUCUCCCUUUUUAUUCUUUUCCUCUUUUCUUUCCUUUUUUUUCUGAUCAAUCACUUGAUUACUAAGAGAGCUGAACUAUUUGUUUUCCAAAAGUCAUUGGAAGCUUCCAAAUCUGUAAAUGAAGCAAAGCUCCUCCUCCACCACCAUAGAUUGUCAUGUGCCAAAUUGGCGACUCUAUGACUUUUCCCCCUUCUCUUUUUUCUUUACUCUUAUGUUUUAAUGGAUAUUUAGUAUUUUUUUCCUCAAAUGCAGCCACAGUACAAAAAAGCCUAUGAUGAAAGCUCCAGUGGCACCAUCAAUUGUUUGUCGUAUUUACCAUAAUGUUCUACAAUCUGUAAUCCCACGAUUCUUCUUCCUUUACAUUUUAUUUUUUUUAAUUCCUUGUUUCUGGCACCUUUAGUUUUCCUUUGCUUGAUUUUUUGCUCUUUUUCACGCUCAUCUUGGCUUAUUUCGUGUCAUUUUCUGAAUUUAUUGCCAGGUACAAUGGAAUAAGAUGGAUUUUUCUAAUUAUCUAAAUUCACAAUAAUAGAGGAAGGAUAGCAAGGAAUAUUUACUUUCUGUAUGUUGGGUUAGUAGAAUUUCAAAUCCUGAUUCUUCAAUUUGUUCACCUUAUAUUUCUGUUUCUGUUCCUUGGCUAGGAUUAAGGAUUAAGGCCUGACAAGGUUUGUGCCCUUUCACAUGCACCGUUGCAGAAGUUGCACCAAAAUUUCCUUUGUAUCAUUUGAUCAAGCAAGAAAGAUAUUUCCUCCCAACUGGAAAUAGCUUAUUGCUUCUGAUGGAGUUAAUAUCACACAAUUUAUCAAGUGUUGUAUCCUAUUCGAACGAGGAAAAAAUACUACAAACAUACCAGUUGUGAACUGGAUAAAACAGCUUGUUGCAACAUAUUUAUCAGAACUAUGUGGCCUCAACAACUUGUUGGAAGCCUUUAGCUGUGAUGCGGAUCAAUGGAGCUGAAAAGAUUUAGAUUAUCACCUUCAGCUAUGACUGUAUUGGCAUAUGUAUAUAUGGCUUUUGCUAACAUCAAUGUUGCGAAACCUUGGCCUGUUGCACUUUGCUAUUAUUUUCUAAUUGGAAAAUGCAGCAUUGUUCACUAGGCUCAGUAACUAGAAUGAUAUUGUGAAAAACUGACUAAUAAGAAAGUUGAACAUUAUCGCAAAUGCUUUGGCACAUAUGUUAUGUAUAUCUUGCGAGUAUUGUAGUUUGUGCAUGUAAAGUACUUUGCCUUUGCCUACUAGGAGCUACUCUGCAGAGUUUUGAUAAGAGUUUGUUAUCUAUACAUUUAUUAAAUGGACAAAGAUAUUAUCUAUUAAUUUUUCUUC